UCAAUCAUCUCUUUGGGCAGCUUUUUUGGACAACUUGCUCAAAACAGCAAUUAUGGUUACAGUUUCUAGUCCCACUGACACUGCAAAGGGGCUCAGCAACGGGGAUGAGGAAAUCGUUAGCUUGUCUAUAUGAAAGGAAAAAAGUCUCGAGGAAAAUGCAACCAUCGGAGCAGGCCCAUAGUGGCUGUUUGCCACAAUCCCUCUUCUUCGCUUCCUUCUCUCCGUUUGGUCAAACCACACAUACAGAUCAAUCUCUCAAUUACACACGUUCACCACAGAUGAUACAAUCGUGAUUAACAUGGUCGAUCAUACUACCAUCGCGAUAAUCAUGUUCUGCAUCUUCCCAGAAAUAAACAUCGUCAUCUUCCUCGUUUGUGCUCCUAAGCUUAGCCUCAAGCACGUUGCGCUUCAAAUAUUCUGAGUGAUAACAAGAUCAAGACCUUCUCUUUCUUCUGUGUUUUCUUUUCAUCAGAGAAAAUCCUCUUCUUUCUUCAGUCGAGCGUUUUUGGAUGGUCAGAGCAGGCUGCUCAAA
rnacentral:misc_RNA from 1 species